rnacentral:rRNA from 1 species
AUUGAACGCUGGCGGUAUGCUUAACACAUGCAAGUCGAACGAUGAGAAAGAGCUUGCUCUUUCGAUUAGUGGCGGACGGGUGCGUAACGCGUAGGAAUCUACCUAUUAGUGGGGGACAACUUAGGGAAACUUAAGCUAAUACCGCAUACGCCCUACGGGGGAAAGAAGGGGAUCGCAAGACCUUUUGCUAAUAGAUGGGCCUGCGUAGGAUUAGCUAGUUGGUGGGGUAAAAGCUCACCAAGGCGACGAUCCUUAACUGGUUUGAGAGAAUGAUCAGUUACACUGGAACUGAGACACGGUCCAGACUCCUACGGGGGGCAGCAGUGGGGAAUAUUGGACAAUGGGCGAAAGCCUGAUCCAGCAAUACCGCGUGUGUGAAGAAGGCCUUAGGGUUGUAAAGCACUUUCAAUUGGAAGGAAAACCUCGAAGCUAAUACCUUCGAGUUUGACAUUACCUUUAGAAGAAGCACCGGCUAACUCCGUGCCAGCCGCCGCAGUAACAC